UCGUAACAAGGUUUCCGUAGGUGAACCUGCGGAAGGAUCAUUACCGAGUGAGGGCCCUCUGGGUCCAACCUCCCACCCGUGUUUAUUUUACCUUGUUGCUUCGGCGGGCCCGCCUUAACUGGCCGCCGGGGGGCUCACGCCCCCGGGCCCGCGCCCGCCGAAGACACCCUCGAACUCUGUCUGAAGAUUGAAGUCUGAGUGAAAAUAUAAAUUAUUUAAAACUUUCAACAACGGAUCUCUUGGUUCCGGCAUCGAUGAAGAACGCAGCGAAAUGCGAUACGUAAUGUGAAUUGCAAAUUCAGUGAAUCAUCGAGUCUUUGAACGCACAUUGCGCCCCCUGGUAUUCCGGAGGGCAUGCCUGUCCGAGCGUCAUUGCUGCCCUCAAGCCCGGCUUGUGUGUUGGGCCCCGUCCUCCGAUCUCCGGGGGACGGGCCCGAAAGGCAGCGGCGGCACCGCGUCCGGUCCUCGAGCGUAUGGGGCUUUGUCACCCGCUCUGUAGGCCCGGCCGGCGCUUGCCGAUCAACCCAAAUUUUUAUCCAGGUUGACCUCGGAUCAGGUAGGGAUACCCGCUGAACUUAAGCAUAUCA
rnacentral:misc_RNA from 1 species